rnacentral:rRNA from 1 species
UACGUAGGGGGCAAGCGUUGUCCGGAAUCAUUGGGCGUAAAGCGCGUGUAGGCGGCUCAGUUAGUCCGUUGUGAAAGUCCAGGGCUCAACCCUGGAAUGCCGAUGGAUACUGCUGAGCUCGAGUCCGGAAGAGGCGAGUGGAGUUCCUGGUGUAGCGGUGAAAUGCGCAGAUAUCAGGAGGAACACCAAUGGCGAAGGCAGCUCGCUGGGACGGUACUGACGCUGAGACGCGAAAGCGUGGGGAGCAAACAGG